GACGAACGCUGGCGGCGUGCUUAACACAUGCAAGUCGAACGGAAAGGCCCUGCUUUUGUGGGGUGCUCGAGUGGCGAACGGGUGAGUAACACGUGAGUAACCUGCCCUUGACUUUGGGAUAACUUCAGGAAACUGGGGCUAAUACCGGAUAGAAUCUCCUGCUGCAUGGGGGGGGUUGGAAAGUUGCGGCGGUUGGGGAUGGUCUCGAGGCUUAUCAGCUUGUUGGUGGGGUAGUGGCUUACAAGGGAGUGGAAGGGUAGCCGGCCUGAGAGGGUGACCCGCCACAUGGUGCUUGGGAAGCGGCCCGGAGGCAUACGGGCGCAAGCGGUGGGAAACAUACCAAAAAGGGCGGAGUCAGUAUGGAGCAACGCCGCGUGGGGGAUGACUGCCUUCGGGUAGGAAACCGCUUUCGCCUGUGACGAAGCGUGAGUGCGGGAAAUGGUUAAAGAAGCACGGGCUAACUACGG
rnacentral:rRNA from 1 species